GGUUGGCCUUCCAGAGAGUUUCAGGCAUAUAGCAGACAGAAUUUCUACCCAUCUACAAGUUAUGCUUUCCAUGGCAAAGCUAACUAUUAGUUUACUUUCACCUGACGAAUAAACCUGAUAACGAGCGAAUUUCACAAGCUACUGACGGUAUUUGGGUUUCUUAACACAGAAAGCAACAGAGCUUUCUACACCAUGCUGUAAAUGUUCAUCGAGUUAAUCACGUUCCUUCCAGCGCACAACUACCACUAAUGGUUCAUCGCUAGUAGGUUCAUCAGUUCAAUGAACUCUAAACAUGUGCUAAGUGCAAUUGCACAUUUUGCAUGCAGCUAGACCUGAGCUAAACCAUGCAGCCGAGGAUUAACAGGACGGAGAUCUGCUGCUGAAAAUACUCCGAGGAAUUUACCAUUAUUGUCAGCCAAUUCAUACGAGCUGGUACCUCGUCUCGCAAUAACUACGCAUGGAG